rnacentral:lncRNA from 1 species
GCGCCAGUCGCUUGGAGUGAGAGGCAGGCGGUUGACGUCGACGCCUGCGCGCCCCAAGCCUCAUUAUCGACGCGCGCGCAUAUACCAACAUUCUAAAACCAAACGUACUUUUCUCCCACAAUUUUCUGAAACAAAGUGACAAAUUCCGAAUCGAUUUUCAAGAAGUGUGUUUCUGUGACAGACUUUCCCUGUGUGUUUACAAUUUCCAUUUGAAUUUUUCUCUUUGACACACAUAUGACGUGUAACGGUGUGGAGAUCUGACGAUCCAUCGACUCGCUAAAAAUCUGUGUGUUUUGUGUGUCUCGGAACAUUGUGCCGGAAUUUUUAACGGAAUUGCCUUAGCGGAGACACUUCCGAGAGUGGCGUAUACAAUUAUCCAGAUAUUUUAAGAGCAAUGUCUCGGUGGAAGGGUAAAGUGAGGUAGCUGGCAGAUGGCAGCAGUCAGCGCGGCGAUGUUUCGGCCUGGGGGCGCGCUCGACCCCCCAUGUUACGGUCAACGGGUACGUAGUUCCUCCAUUUGUCCAUA